GUAUUUUGACUAUACAAAGGUAUUGUAAUAAGACUUUAAUUGGGUGCUAAGAGAAUGGAUUUUCAAAAAAAUUCUUUUUUAAAUUUAAAAAUUAAAGUUAUUUUUAUUUGUGAAGAAACAAUAAUAUAAAUUAAAGACAAGAAGACCCUAUGAAUUUUGAUCGAUUUAAUAUUAAAUUUAAUAUUUAAUUCGAUUUAAUUGGGGCGAUUAAAAAAUAUUAAAAACUUUUUAAAAUAAAAAGAUCCAUUAAUAAUGAUUACAUGAAA
rnacentral:rRNA from 1 species